UGAACGCUGGCGGCGUGCCUAAUACAUGCAAGUCGAGCGAACGGACGAGAAGCUUGCUUCUCUGAUGUUAGCGGCGGACGGGUGAGUAACACGUGGAUAACCUACCUAUAAGACUGGGAUAACGUCGGGAAACCGGAGCUAAUACCGGAUGAUAUUUUGAACCGCAUGGUUCAAAAGUGAAAGACGGUCUUGCUGUCACUUAUAGAUGGAUCCGCGCUGCAUUAGCUAGUUGGUAAGGUAACGGCUUACCAAGGCAACGAUGCAUAGCCGACCUGAGAGGGUGAUCGGCCACACUGGAACUGAGACACGGUCCAGACUCCUACGGGAGGCAGCAGUAGGGAAUCUUCCGCAAUGGGCGAAAGCCUGACGGAGCAACGCCGCGUGAGUGAUGAAGGUCUUCGGAUCGUAAAACUCUGUUAUUAGGGAAGAACAUAUGUGUAAGUAACUGUGCACAUCUUGACGGUACCUAAUCAGAAAGCCACGGCUAACUACGUG
rnacentral:rRNA from 1 species